rnacentral:rRNA from 1 species
AGGACGAACGCUGGCGGCGUGCUUAGCACAUGCAAGUCAAGGGGGCCCAGCAAUGGGCAACCGGCGAACGGGUGCGUAACACGUGAGCAACCUACCGAAAUGUGGGGGAUAGCCGGCCUAACGGCCGAGUAAUACCGCAUACGCUCUCGAUGAGGCAUUUCAUUGAGAGGAAACCUACGGGACAUUUCGAGGGGCUCGCGGCCUAUCAGCUAGUUGGCGAGGUAACGGCUCACCAAGGCAACGACGGGUAGC